GGAAGCCAGUGAUAUUCUCCUGAAUAAACAGAGAAGAAAGGUCAGAGAAGAAAGGAGAGAAGAUCACAUCUUUAUGGUAGUAAAAGCUUGGAUACCUCAAUUUUUGGACCAGUGGAUCAGCUUUGAUUUCUUCCUGAAAAAAGUUAUGAAUUUUGUAGGUAAUGUUCCAUUCUUUCUUCAGUUCCUUGAUGAUCGUAAUCCCAGGCUGAAAAAUCAGAACAUGAGCUAUGAGCAUAACCUCCGAGAACGAGAACCGAAUCAGUGGAUAAGAAACAUGAAAGAUUAGACCGAUGUAUUACGCUG
rnacentral:lncRNA from 1 species